rnacentral:rRNA from 1 species
UCCGAAGGGGGCUAGCGUUGCUCGGAAUCACUGGGCGUAAAGGGUGCGUAGGCGGGUUUUUAAGUCAGGGGUGAAAUCCUGGAGCUCAACUCCAGAACUGCCUUUGAUACUGAAGAUCUUGAGUUCGGGAGAGGUGAGUGGAACUGCGAGUGUAGAGGUGAAAUUCGUAGAUAUCCGCAAGAACACCAGUGGCGAAGGCGGCUCACUGGCCCGAUACUGACGCUGAGGCACGAAAGCGUGGGGAGCAAACAGG